AGGUAAGGUUUUUGGAUCGUAAACCCCUUUUGUCAAGGAAGAAGCUCUGACGGUACUUGACGAAUAAGCCUCGGCUAACUCCGUGCCAGCAGCCGCGGUAAUACGGAGGAGGUAAGCGUUAUCCGGAAUGAUUGGGCGUAAAGCGUCUGUAGGUGGCCAGCUAAGUCUGCUGUUAAAGAUCACAGCUCAACUGUGGGAAGGCAGUGGCAAACUGGCAAGCUAGAGGUUGGUAGGGGUAAAGGGAAUUCCCGGUGUAGCGGUGAAAUGCGUAGAUAUCGGGAAGAACACCGGUGGCGAAAGCGCUUUACUGGGCCAGACCUGACACUGAAGGACGAAAGCUAGGGGAGCGAAAGGGAUUAGAUACCCCUGUAGUCA
rnacentral:rRNA from 1 species